AGCUACAGCCAUAUCGCCCUGCAGCCCAAGACUGGUUACUGACUAAAUCUUAGAAGGGCUGAGAUUGGUCAGUACCUGGAUGGAAGACCACAUGAGAAAACUAGGUUGCUGUUGGAA
ensembl:rRNA 5S_rRNA 5S ribosomal RNA